GUGGGGAAUAUUGGACAAUGGGCGAAAGCCUGAUCCAGCCAUGCCGCGUGUGUGAAGAAGGUCUUCGGAUUGUAAAGCACUUUAAGUUGGGAGGAAGGGCAGUAAGUUAAUACCUUGCUGUUUUGACGUUACCGACAGAAUAAGCACCGGCUAACUUCGUGCCAGCAGCCGCGGUAAUACGAAGGGUGCAAGCGUUAAUCGGAAUUACUGGGCGUAAAGCGCGCGUAGGUGGUUUUGUAAGUUGGAGGUGAAAUCCCCGGGCUCAACCUGGGAACGGCCUCCAAAACUGGAUGACUAGAGUACGGGAGAGGGUAGUGGAAUUGCCUGUGUAGCGGUGAAAUGCGUAGAUAUAGGAAGGAACACCAGUGGCGAAGGCGACUACCUGGACUGAUACUGACACUGAGGUGCGAAAGCGUGGGGAGCAAACAGGAUUAGAAACCCCUGUAGUCC
rnacentral:rRNA from 1 species